UACGAAGGGUGCAAACGUUGCUCGGAAUUACUGGGCGUAAAGCGCGUGUAGGCGGCUAUGUAAGUCGGGCGUGAAAUCCCAUGGCUCAACCAUGGAACGUGCACCCGAAACUGCGUAGCUAGAGUCCUGGAGAGGAAGGUGGAAUGCUUGGUGUAGAGGUGAAAUUCGUAGAUAUCAAGCGGAACACCGGUGGCGAAGGCGGCCUUCUGGACAGUGACUGAC
rnacentral:rRNA from 1 species